GAACACCAGGUGCUGGUAGAGUGUCAGCCCCAGGCAAGGCAGAAGCUGCUUUACGGAAGGCGAGAAGUCCGGGUGGAUCUUGUAGCGUCGCAGGAUGGGGACCCAGGGAUACAGGACGUCCAGCACCACGAAUGUUGAUGUACUAAAGACACAGGAAAGAGCAAUUCUGCCUUGGGACAAUUCACCCGCCAUCACCGCUACAAACUAAUGAGUUCUUCGCUCUCAGAAGGCGCUGUUUCCCAACCAAAGCAGAAUUCCCUGAGUUUUAAAAUAUCUGUUUUUGACUGUUUAAAGACUUAUUCUAUAUCUUGGGGAACUCCGAGUGUGCGUACCUCACGCCACAGUGCGUACUGGGUUCCUUGCAGACAAGGAGAUGGAACCUGGCAUCCUCCAAAAAAGAGCAGUCAGGCUCGCAGCCUUUUGACGCAGACGACUCUCCCGCUCUGGUGCCCUUAAAGCCCGCGGUGUCAAGAGCACAGAUCAGAUCCUGCAAGACAGUGGUCAAGAGGGUAGCACUGCCAGCCUUUGCUAUGGAUUGGAGAACGGAGGCUUAACACCCGCAAAGGCUCACUCGAUUGGGCCAAACCGCAAAGGCCAGUGGAGAAGAAGAUCUGAGCAAUCUCAUAGCCUCCCGGAACAUGUUUCAUCUCCCCUGCCAUUUCCUUAGAGGUCCCUCAGGCUCCGACUUUUACCAACCCUCAGUUGUUCCCUACUCCUCAACUCCUGGACACCCUUUCAGACACUGGGACUGAUCGUCCAGGGACUGAGCACAGGAGGACAUCAAACCUGUGAAGCAAAGCCUGGAGUCAGGCCUGCAGGAUGCCCUGUUCCCGUGCCCCUGCUCCUCAAGACACAUUGAAGAACAGCUGCCCUCCUCCAGUCCCUGCCCAUGAAGUUCAUGGGACGGACAUCGUGCCCAACAUAGAGAUGCAACCAUCUCAAGGAGUUAAGUGGUUACAGACAUCACAGCCUGAUGCUAGAGAAGCAGGCAUAAUACUCCAGAUGACUAAACAAAGUUUAAUAAGCCAAAACAAAGUAGAGCCAUGUGCUAAAGUGAAGCGGUUCCUUGAAUUUACCAAGCCUAAGGGAGUUUCUGCAGACUCAAAAAUGUAAUAGUUUCCAAGUGAGUAGAGACUUUUAGAGCAAGGAUCUUAGGAUUUAUUUCUACAGAUCUAAGAAAAUGUCUGUCCUCUCUCAGUUGCUCACUUUCUUCUCCCUCACUGGCUCUCUCUGACAAGGCUCGCCCCGCCCGCGCCCCCGCCCCCGCCCCCACCUCCAUGUGAAUUACAGAGGAGCCUGGGUGAAACCUAAUGCAUAUCAAGCACUCCCUUUGUCACUGACCUCGAACGCCCUCCCAUCCUAAGGAAUGUUCCAAAGAUGCUGCAUAUUCAUUUUCGAAGAUACAGGCUCAAAUUUGAAGAUUAAAAAUAUGUUUCUGCAUUUCGAUAUUUAUUAAUGUUUAUGUAUUUAUUGAGAACACUAGCAGAUGCCAUUUGGGUCUGCUAUUUAAGGACAGUUGCACACGUGAGUGGCUGUUUUAUAAUUUCACAUGGUAUCAGAACGCUGUCUUGUACUUUUCCAUUUGAUAAAGACUUCUUGAUCAUUUCUUCUUGGCCUGAACCCUCUGACAGCCUUUAAAGACAAGAAUCCCAUCUCCUCCAGUUAUUCCCAAGGUCCAAACGUAAUUAACUCUGUCUCAGAGUUAUUUGGUACCAACUAAUCAAAAGUCUUUGGGAAGUCUCACCAAUAGGGCAUGCAGCUAGCCAGCAAAGCUAAUGACAUAUAAUCUUUAAAAUGGGUAUGGUGAUUUAUUUACUUAUUUAUUUUGCUUUCACAAGUGAGGCUAUUUAGACAGAUGCUUGGCUGAAACAACUGUAUAUCAGAGAUUAUAAGCAAGGCCCAAAGAGGUGGAAUGAUCUCAAAGAUUGCAAUAUGACAUCACAUUUCAAAGAUGAGGAAUUAGUCUCAGAUAUGCCAAGAAUGGCCCUGAUUAGCGAUAAAGUGUCAGUUACAGCUGUUGGAGAGUUACGUUCAGUGUCAGUUCUUAGCCAGCCAGGGUUGCUCUCAAAAAGAUCUUUGAAGUGCUUUUUCUUCUUUUUUUCUUUUUUUUUCUUUUUUGUAGUAAUUUUCAAAAGACUGAGGGACCAUUAAUUAACCUAGAAAGUAAUGCUAAUGAAGAAUCCGAAGGAUGUCAGCUCUUCCUGCAAAGUCUCCGAGUUACCCAGAUACCUUGAUGCUCCUAGUUACCCAGAUACUGAUGCACAUGGCUUCGACCUGUCAUAUAGUGUAUAAGUUACUACUGUCCGUACUGACGGAACUAUUACUGGCCUCUCUGAAGCAAGCAUAUACAGACACUCCUAACUAAACUAAAAAGUCAUACUAUGCCUGUAAAGAAAGAAAAAUGUCACCAGUCCCCCUAAUUCUCCCCCCAUCAACAUGAUCAAAGUUUUGGAAGAACACAUAGUUUAAAACAGGCAAAGUCCAUUUUUUUAUAACGUAAUUGAUACAAAAAGUUCCAUUUGACUAGUUUGAAAUUAGACUUGAAAUCUGCAACUAACACAAUACAGCAAAUACAGCUGGAUGAUAACUGAAAGCCUUCAUCGGGAUAAUUACUUCCUUAGGUCGCCUUUCACACAUCACAAGAAAUCCAAGUGGUUUCUGGCCUUGAAAUAUCUCCAUAUAUUAGAGAUAAAUGAUAGGGGUUGGAGGGAUGGCUCGGCAUUGAAGAGCACUGGCUGCUCAUGAAGAGGGCUCCUACUCAGACUGGGUUCAGACUCCAUACUCACAUGACUACUUACAAUUAUCUGAAACUCCAGUUGCAGGGUAUCCAACGUCCUCUUGUGGACUCCUGAGGCACAAAACUCAUGUGGUGCACUCACAUACAUGCAAGCCAAACACUCAGACACAAAAUGAAAACAAACUAUUCCUUAAAAUAGCAAAGCAUCAAGUUACUAUUUGAAAUGUAUUUAUUUAUUAAAUCAACAUCUUUCAUGUUCACAGACACAAAAUCACCCUCGUUGUUUGGACAAUGAAAUCAAUAAACUUGGCUAUUUCG
rnacentral:lncRNA from 1 species